rnacentral:lncRNA from 10 species
CCAAAACUGCAUAACAAGAUAGCCUGAGGUGAAAUGGGUGGCUGAGGGUUUUUUGUACCUAGAUGAAGAGAAACUGGGAAACUCGUUUCCAUGUGUGAACAGUUUUCUUCCUGAGUGGGAUGUGCCUGAAUUUGCAUUUUGAUGUAAUCUCUUCUUAGUUCUAGGGAAACGUGCCAAAGGUCCGUACGAAAUCCAUGGAGCAAAAAGACUUUACCAGAAAGGAGGGGUUUGAGAAAAUGUGGCUUUGGAGUGCCACGUAGCACUGCAUAAUCAUCCCAGAUGCUGUUAUUUUUGUGGGCAGAGCUGCCAACUCCGCAGGGUGUUGGUGCUAGGAAGGCAUUUCCCUCCUAAGUGAUGGUUGAAACUGCCUUUUGCCCAUUCUUUCGUGUCUUACAGCGCUGCAAGUAUGUUCUUAGAGCAACUGUUGGACCAUGAGGAUGGGAUGUCGAGGUCUAGAGGAAGGAUACACAAGGGUCGUUCCUCACCUCACCCCAACAGGGGAGACUCACCAAGACUCCAGGCUUACCUCUCCCAGCCAAGCCUGGAACAAAGGCAGGAUUUAAGACCAGGGGGCUCCUGCAUUCCUUGGCUCAUGGCUGCCUGACACCGACUCUGCAUCCACAGUCACAUCUCUUCUGACUCUCACCUUCACGCCUUAUGAAUAUGUUGGGCCCACCUGAAUAAUCCACGGAAGUCUCCCCAAGAAAAGAUUCUUAACCACAUCUGCAGAGUCCCAUGUAAAAUAAUCGUUUCAGCUUAACAGUGAAUCAUUGUUUAGUAUAAGAGGACCCAAAUAUUGCAUGGGGCAUACUUAUACUAAAAAUUUGUCAUUGUUUAUGUGAUAUUUGAAUUUAAUCAGACAUUGUGUAUUUUUAUUUGCUAAAUCUGGAAACCCUUGAGGAAAUCACAGAAAUAGUCUGGAAGCAUCUGGAAAAGAAGGUACUUUGAGGGAGCUAAUGUCCUACAAUGAAGCCAUUAGACAGUUUUGCUUGUGCAAUUUACAUUAUACAGGAUUCAUCAGUUUUAUAAAUUACAUUCAUAGUUUCCUGAACACUUUAUUUCCACAUUAAUAUUUUUCUGAUCUUAAUUGUAUUGUCUUCUGUAACAUAGGCUUUUCUGCAUUUUGAAAUUUGCCCAGUUUUACCCAGAUACUAAAUACAUAUUUCAAAAAUGUGAUUCCAACGAACAUAUCCAGUUGAUUUUUUUUAUUUUCAUAAAGCAAAAUAAAGACACCACCUGUUGCCUUUUAUAAACAGAUGUGUAGCCCCUACAAACUUCUGAAGGAACCAUUUACUGUGGAAUUCCUCUUGGUCAUCAGGAAGAUCAAGACAAUAUGACUAACCAGCUAGGUUCCUUAUGCAUCGGAAAAUUCCCAGAGAUCUUUUACAAAAUGCUAUGAUUCUUCAAAAAGCAUUAUAGCCUGGGUAUUGAAAAGAGUUUCAAGUAAAUUGAUACAGCAAGGAAGCUUCCCUAUGCAGUGGGUAACCAGAAGGGUGAACAAGCCUAUGGUGAUGAUUGACAUCGUUUUUGAAGAGGUUUGAGCUCUUCCUUGAAUUACACAAUAACCUGAGCUAUCUAGACCAACCCUGUCCAAUAGAAGUAACUUUAGCCACACACGUAAUUUGAAUUUUCUAGUAGCCACAUUUUUAAAAAAGUAAAAGGAAACAGGUGAAGCUCAUUUUAAUGAUGUAUUCUAUUUUACUCAACAUAUCUGGAAUAUUAUUCCUA